rnacentral:snoRNA from 1 species
ACCCUCCAGAUUCCUUACCCGUCGGAUCUAAACAUUCAUGUGAGUGGCUGAAAAAGGAGGAAAAGCAAAACUGAAAGGGCUUGUAUUCUGUAGUGACAUACAAGUUCAUCUCAAACAAAC